UGUAGCUCAGUGGAGAUGCGCCUGCCUGGUAAGCAGAAGGCCCUGGGUUUGAUCCCCAGUA
rnacentral:tRNA from 1 species